UGGGGAAUUUUGGACAAUGGGCGCAAGCCUGAUCCAGCCAUGCCGCGUGCAGGAUGAAGGCCUUCGGGUUGUAAACUGCUUUUGUACGGAACGAAAAGGUGCCUUCUAAUAAAGGGCGCUCAUGACGGUACCGUAAGAAUAAGCACCGGCUAACUACGUGCCAGCAGCCGCGGUGAUACGUAGGGUGCGAGCGUUAAUCGGAAUUACUGGGCGUAAAGCGUGCGCAGGCGGUUUUGUAAGACAGAGGUGAAAUCCCCGGGCUCAACCUGGGAACUGCCUUUGUGACUGCAAGGCUGGAGUGCGGCAGAGGGGGAUGGAAUUCCGCGCGUAGCAGUGAAAUGCGUAGAUAUGCGGAGGAACACCGAUGGCGAAGGCAAUCCCCUGGGCCUGCACUGACGCUCAUGCACGAAAGCGUGGGGAGCAAACA
rnacentral:rRNA from 1 species